AUGGACAACUAGAGUUUAUGGAAGAUUGGCGCAGCAAAUCCAGUGAACAAAAUUUGACGUGCCUGUUAUGGGCAUAUCUUGGAAAUGGGCCAGCGGGAGUGAUUUUUCAGGAUUAAGAAUGUCAUUUUCAACAGCAAAUGUCUGGACCCCCAAAAUACGAUCCGGCCUCUGCUCCUCCAUUGCCCAGCCUGUUUAGAUAUGUGUCCUGAGACUUCAUUUGAAGUUCCAGAAGGUGGAAUCUGCAUGAUGAACAAACCCCUGUCAGAGCCGGAAUGUUGCCAGGAUGCCGGGGAGAAACACUCAAUAAAAAUAACGAUGAGAAGUGAAAACGUAAGCCCAACUUUGACAAAUGGCUGUGCAGGCAGCCCCUUCUGUGGAUUUUGGAGGGGAGGACUUUCAACCGGGAGAGGAAUCUCUUCCUUCAGACGGAUCAUUCAGGAACAGUAAAGAAGGGCCAGAACCAGAGAUAUUGAGGGCAUCAAAAGGACAACCAAAGAUCUCCACUGGCAACUGUCAGAAUUCUCUUCCCUAGAGGCUGCAUUCGGGCCAGCAAAGCUACAACAGUUGAAGUAGAAGAUGGAUUCAAAAAGGCCAGGACAGCAAUUAACAUAUUGAGGCUCAAUCUCUGGUAAACCAUUUAUUUCUUUUAAUUCAUGACCACAUUUGUAUUGAGGUGACAGAAUUCCUUUGGUGAACCACUCCCGGUUAAUUUAUUCAUC